rfam:Punica granatum cultivar Dabenzi scaffold665, whole genome shotgun sequence.
ACGACCUUACUUGAAUAGGAUCUGUUCUAUAGGCUCAUAUCUCUAUAUCCUUGAGUUCUAAUGAGAGAGGAACCUAAGUUUGGUGGAUGAACUAUGGUCGUGCCACCAAAGAGUGAGCAGCAGCCUCGUCGGCAUGCUAGGGCUGUCGGUUGCGGCGAAGGAUCGUCCUCAGCUCCUUAUGCAGGAGUGGUGGGGUGGUAGCAUGGCCUUUUGACAUACU